rnacentral:piRNA from 1 species
UACGGAUUGAACAGAGAUGUUAUUUAAGCGU